AGAGGGCACUGGAAGGUCCCCAGACGCAAGCCCAGUUCCGUCCGUUCCGAUGGUGCAGGACCGCCAGCGGCGUGCGGAAGCGCGGCGGAGCGCGGCGUCCGCCGGGCAGUCGAGCCGCUGCGAGCUGGCGCUGCUCCGCUCUACCGCCGACCUCCGGGGCCAAGCGCGCUGGGGCACCGCGCUGCGCGGCACAGAGCAGUCGGCUGCGCUGGUGAGGAUGCGAGGCUGGUGGGGGGGCGGGGGCACGGGGAUGCGGGGAGAGGCAGCCCUUCCCUGGGAGAAACAACAACAACAACAACAGGUACAGAAGGGCGGGGGGCGAGGGUCCUGCCGCGCAGAAAGCUGGACGGGAAGUUUCCGUGGCGAGGGAGGGGGACAGCGUCCACGGUGUCGCCGCUGUCUCCAGGUUUCGAAGCCCGCGCAGCGGGACCCUACUCAGAGCGGCGCCCCCUCGCGGAUCCCAACUAUCGCCUGCAACUUCUAGUUUCACCCCUGUCUCUGGCGACCCCCGAUUGUGAUAUUCUGGCCGUUUACACCACUCCAACCUCCUUUCCCUUCCACGAACCCCUUCCUUUGCUCUCCGCUUCUCCGUUCCGCGAGAGAUGGCCCUGCAAAAAGCUCCUAGAUUCGGGGUUCACCAAAUCAGCCAGGGAAAGUCGAGGGAGAAGGCGAAGGCGGAGCGGGGGGACUCAGGUUCGGGCGAGGGUGCUGAGGUCACGGCGCAGCGAGCAACAGGAGACCUCGAGCUGGAGGGAGGCAGAUGUGGAGGCAGAGGGCCGUGCCUUGGAAGGGCUGAGAAAACCCCACAACUUCCAGCCAGGAGUUGCUUCUUGUUUUGCUUGUUUGUUUUUGUUUGUUUGUUUGCUCAUAGGAGCAGAGUGGGGACACGGACCCUCGCAGAACCACAGAGGAGCGUCGCACAACUGCGCCAAGGACAAACCCAGGGCACUCACACCAGGGGCUGGAGCCGUCGCCGCGCUCCCACGGGAAGAUUCAACGUGAUUAA
rnacentral:lncRNA from 1 species